GCCUGGGUGGCGAAAUUGGUAGACGCGCCAGACUCAAAAUCUGGUUUAGGUAACUAAGUGAGAGUUCGAGUCUCUCCCCAGGCACCA
rnacentral:tRNA from 1 species